CGAUUUUCCUUUUUUGUCUCUUCGUUUCUCUUCUUCUAUUCCGUGGAAUCCCCCUCCCUUCUUCCCUUCUGUCGUUCUUCUCCGAGAGAAGGGAAGGGGUUUCUCUUCAUUUCUCUUCUCUCGGCGUCCAGAGAGCUGGGACGAAGGAAGAGAGGAAGAGAGCGUUCUCCAAACGUGUUCUCUAAUCCCUCCGAGCUAUCGCUCUAUAUCUUGCAAAGAUAAAAAUUUGAUGACAUGGAGGAAAAUAUACCAUCUCCUCUUAUUUCGGAUGGCUCUGUUCGUGGUAUCAGUUUUAGUGCUGCAACGAUCGAGGAAAUUCGUACAUACGCCAUAAAUGACUGCCCAGUUUCUCAUCCAAGCCAACUAACAAAUCCUUUCCUUGGUUUGCCAUUAGAAUUUGGCAAAUGUGAAUCUUGUGGCACUGCUGAACCCGGAAAAUGUGAAGGUCAUUUUGGUUACAUCGAGUUGCCAGUACCUGUA